rnacentral:rRNA from 1 species
UACGGGGGGGGCAAGCGUUGUUCGGAAUUACUGGGCGUAAAGGGCGCGUAGGCGGCACUGCAAGUCAGUUGUGAAAUCUCCGGGCUUAACCCGGAAAGGUCAACUGAUACUGCAGGGCUAGAGUGCAGAAGGGGCAACUGGAAUUCUCGGUGUAGCGGUGAAAUGCGUAGAUAUCGAGAGGAACACCUGCGGCGAAGGCGGGUUGCUGGGCUGACACUGACGCUGAGGCGCGAAAGCUAGGGGAGCGAACGGG